rnacentral:rRNA from 1 species
ACGGGGGGAGCAAGCGUUGUUCGGAAUCACUGGGCGUAAAGGGCGUGUAGGCGGUUAGGUAAGUGGGAUGUGAAAUGCCUCGGCUCACCCGAGGACCGGCAUCCCAAACUGCCCGACUUGAGUAUGGGAGAGGAUGAGGGAAUUCCUGGUGUAGCGGUGAAAUGCGUAGAUAUCAGGAGGAACACCGGUGGCGAAGGCGCUCAUCUGGCCCAAUACUGACGCUGAGGCGCGAAAGCUAGGGGAGCAAACGGGAUUAGAUACCCCGGUAGUCCUAGCCGUAAACGGUGAUCACUAGGUGUUGGAGGCAUCGACCCCUCCAGUGCCGCAGCUAACGCAUUAAGUGAUCCGCCUGGGGAGUACGGCCGCAAGGUUG